ACAGGUGGUGCAUGGUUGUCGUCAGCUCGUGUCGUGAGAUGUUGGGUUAAGUCCCGCAACGAGCGCAACCCCUAUUGCUAGUUACCAUCAUUAAGUUGGGGACUCUAGCGAGACUGCCAGUGAUAAACUGGAGGAAGGUGGGGAUGACGUCAAAUCAUCAUGCCCCUUAUGACCUGGGCUACAAACGUGAUACAAUGGCUGGAACAAAGGGAUGCGAAGCAGUGAUGUGGAGCGAAACCCAUAAAAACAGUCUCAGUUCGGAUUGAAGUCUGCAACUCGACUUCAUGAAGUCGGAAUCGCUAGUAAUCGCGGAUCAGAACGCCGCGGUGAAUACGUUCUCGGGGUUU
rnacentral:rRNA from 1 species